ACAUUUACCUGCCAUGGGGAAUACCACCAUCAGGAAGGUGGCUUCCCCAGGGUGAGGCUCUUCCAUUUCACACUUGUCAUGGAUUGACUUCCUGUGAUUUUCCCAAAUCUAGAAAACUUAACUGGAUCAUUUAUGGUAGUGGGGGACUGUGUUUGCAUAGUUCCCUC